rnacentral:rRNA from 1 species
AGAGUUUGAUCCUGGCUCAGAACGAACGCUGGCGGCAGGCCUAAUACAUGCAAGUCGAACGCACUCUUCGGAGUGAGUGGCAGACGGGUGAGUAACGCGUGGGAAUUUUCCUUGCAGUACGGAAUAACUCCGGGAAACCGGUGCUAAUACCGUAUACGCCCUUUGGGGGAAAGAUUUAUCGCUGCAAGAUAAGCCCGCGUCGGAUUAGCUAGUUGGUGGGGUAAUGGCCUACCAAGGCUUCGAUCCGUAGCUGGUCUGAGAGGAUGAUCAGCCACACUGGGACUGAGACACGGCCCAGACUCCUACGGGAGGCAGCAGUAGGGAAUAUUGGACAAUGGGCGAAAGCCUGAUCCAGCCAUGCCGCGUGAGUGAAGAAGGCCUUAGGGUUGUAAAGCUCUUUUGGCGGGGACGAUAAUGACGGUACCCGCAGAAUAAGCUCCGGCUAACUUCGUGCCAGCAGCCGCGGUAAUACGAAGGGGGCUAGCGUUGUUCGGAAUCACUGGGCGUAAAGCGCACGCAGGCGGAUUGAUAAGUCAGGGGUGAAAUCCCGGAGCUCAACUUCGGAAUUGCCUUUGAUACUGUCUGUCUUGAGUCCGGGAGAGGUGAGUGGAAUUCCUAGUGUAGAGGUGAAAUUCGUAGAUAUUAGGAAGAACACCAGUGGCGAAGGCGGCUCACUGGCCCGGUACUGACGCUCAUGUGCGAAAGCGUGGGGAGCAAACAGGAUUAGAUACCCUAGUAGUCC